CAGAUAUGUCUAAGUGCUGUGUGUUGUGCAGAGUGGAGAUCCUGAGUGGAACGCUGCAAGCUGGCUUGCACUGUUCCUUUGGGAGCAGUGAAUCUGGGAGCUUUGUGAGAGAUUGCAGUGAAUGCAGCACUCAACAUCUGGCAUGAAGGAUGAAUGAACAGCCUUCUCCGAGGCAGACUGGGUGAUAAGAGUUGCUUGGGAAGAACUGAGUGCCACUACUCCCACCAUCUCCUCCCAGUGGCUGACAAGCCUCCUUUACUAUGGGCUGAACUGUCCUGGCCUGCGAGUAAGAGACCUGAAGCUAUUCCAGAAUUUAGGCCUUGUCACUGUGGCGCCCUUGCUGCUAAUCCCUACAGCUAGCUGGCUGACCUUCAGCUUUCUCAUGCCGUUAUCUGUUGCGUAAUGAACUAGAAUCAGGCUCCAACCACUGCCUAUGCCCUUCAGUAAGAAGGGUGGAAUACUGCAAUGUCUCAUAACUAUGGUUUCAGCAAGCAAGUGUGAAAAUGUCAUUAGAAAGACUUCUCAGCAACAAGAUGGCUGCAUAGAGAACUGUGAGAAUCGGAAGGUUCCCAGAAAUAUUUUGUGAGCAGCUCUAUAGCAUAGAUUUAUGUAGGAUAGCUCCUGUGUCUAACACACCCACCACUACUACCAUGAUCUGAGCCUCCUAGGCUUCCUUUGGACGAAAAGGAAAGCAAAAGCUGACAACCGUGCUGUUUCGUGGAAACUUGUGAGGUUUAGAAAUUUGUUUUCCUUCCAUAUUGGAACAAAAUCAAACCUUUUAGAACAUUGUCACAGAAAUGGAAUUGUGUCAAAAUGUCUGGUUUUGGAUCAAAACCUGAGAUAUCUCAGAAGUAAAUUUGCGUGGGUGCAUGCUCUUUCUCCCUCUUUCUUGUCGAAACCCAUACGUCUCUGUGAAACAGCAUAUUUCGCCAAAAUUUCGUUUAGUCAAAAAUGUCCCGACCAGCUCUCGUUCUUCCUGUUCCUACGUUUGCUUUGCUGUGUAGUGCCACUGACAUGGCAAAAAAGCUCUCAGGCUAUUAGUGUACAAUUUAAUAAAUAUCCACAUUAAACAAAAUAACUUUUUAUUUUGCAUACAAACAAACAUACAAUGGCAUACUUUGCUCCCCUGCCCUCCAGCCAGUACUCUCAUUCCAUACAUGUGAGUGGUAAAAGCCCGCCCCAGAUCAUCGGAGAGUGCAACAAUGUUACACAAGCUGGGUUUUUUUCAAGUUUUCUAAAUAUUUUCCAACUUCUAUUGCAUACUGUUGUCUCCAUGCUGUGAACUCUUGCCAAAACUCCCCCAACAGCAUUCUUCACUGACUUUGCAAAUCAUUUAGACAGCAAACAAACCUUUUAAAGAGUCAUUGAUUUCUGCAAGA